UACGUAGGGGGCAAGCGUUGUCCGGAAUUAUUGGGCGUAAAGAGCGCGUAGGCGGUCCGGUAAGUCGGCUGUGAAAGUCAAGGGCUCAACCCUUGAAAGCCGGCCGAUACUGUCGGACUAGAGUCCGGAAGAGGCGAGUGGAAUUCCAGGUGUAGCGGUGAAAUGCGUAGAUAUCUGGAGGAAUGCCGGUGGCGAAGGCGGCAUCCUGGACCGACAUUGACGCUGAUGAGCGAAAGCUAGGGGAGCAAACGGGG
rnacentral:rRNA from 1 species